rnacentral:rRNA from 1 species
GAUGAACGCUGGCGGCGUGCCUAAUACAUGCAAGUCGAGCGAACGGACGAGAAGCUUGCUUUUCUGAUGUUAGCGGCGGACGGGUGAGUAACACGUGGAUAACCUACCUAUAAGACUGGGAUAACUUCGGGAAACCGGAGCUAAUACCGGAUAAUAUUUUGAACCGCAUGGUUCAAAAGUGAAAGACGGUCUUGCUGUCACUUAUAGAUGGAUCCGCGCUGCAUUAGCUAGUUGGUAAGGUAACGGCUUACCAAGGCAACGAUGCAUAGCCGACCUGAGAGGGUGAUCGGCCACACUGGAACUGAGACACGGUCCAGACUCCUACGGGAGGCAGCAGUAGGGAAUCUUCCGCAAUGGGCGAAAGCCUGACGGAGCAACGCCGCGUGAGUGAUGAAGGUCUUCGGAUCGUAAAACUCUGUUAUUAGGGAAGAACAUAUGUGUAAGUAACUGUGCACAUCUUGACGGUACCUAAUCAGAAAGCCACGGCUAACUACGUGCCAGCAGCCGCGGUAAUACGUAGGUGGCAAGCGUUAUCCGGAAUUAUUGGGCGUAAAGCGCGCGUAGGCGGUUUUUUAAGUCUGAUGUGAAAGCCCACGGCUCAACCGUGGAGGGUCAUUGGAAACUGGAAAACUUGAGUGCAGAAGAGGAAAGUGGAAUUCCAUGUGUAGCGGUGAAAUGCGCAGAGAUGUGGAGGAACACCAGUGGCGAAGGCGACUUUCUGGUCUGUAACUGACGCUGAUGUGCGAAAGCGUGGGGAUCAAACAGGAUUAGAUACCCUGGUAGUCCACGCCGUAAACGAUGAGUGCUAAGUGUUAGGGGGUUUCCGCCCCUUAGUGCUGCAGCUAACGCAUUAAGCACUCCGCCUGGGGAGUACGACCGCAAGGUUGAAACUCAAAGGAAUUGACGGGGACCCGCACAAGCGGUGGAGCAUGUGGUUUAAUUCGAAGCAACGCGAAGAACCUUACCAAAUCUUGACAUCCUUUGACAACUCUAGAGAUAGAGCUUUCCCCUUCGGGGGACAAAGUGACAGGUGGUGCAUGGUUGUCGUCAGCUCGUGUCGUGAGAUGUUGGGUUAAGUCCCGCAACGAGCGCAACCCUUAAGCUUAGUUGCCAUCAUUAAGUUGGGCACUCUAAGUUGACUGCCGGUGACAAACCGGAGGAAGGUGGGGAUGACGUCAAAUCAUCAUGCCCCUUAUGAUUUGGGCUACACACGUGCUACAAUGGACAAUACAAAGGGCAGCGAAACCGCGAGGUCAAGCAAAUCCCAUAAAGUUGUUCUCAGUUCGGAUUGUAGUCUGCAACUCGACUACAUGAAGCUGGAAUCGCUAGUAAUCGUAGAUCAGCAUGCUACGGUGAAUACGUUCCCGGGUCU